rnacentral:lncRNA from 1 species
GCUCAACGCGAGAAAGAAGUCUGAGGUAGAUACUCUUUCCGAACAGAUUAAGGCUGAGAGGUCGUUGGUACAAAUCCGAAUUAGGGAACUUAAUGUAAACUUUCCAUUUAUAUGUAGGAGAAUUCCAGCAGCGCCUGUAUACGGAGAAUAUAUCUCCCAAUUGAUACGAUUUUCCCGGGCUUGUAUUUCCUUUCGUGAUGUCCUUGAUAGAGAAAUGCUACUCACACGGAAGCUAUUUAACCAAGAGUUCCAAAUGGUGAAGUUGAAAUCAUCCCUUUGUAAAUUUUACGGACGCCAUUACGAGUUGGAAUAACCGUUUCACAGAUGCUAUCGGACAUGUUCCUUGUGUAGAUCCUAACUACGAUACCCUUCCCUUUUCACGAUCGCGAGUUAGACUAUUUACCGGAUUUGUAAUAACAUAAGCAACACGACGGGUGCCAUAUGUGGUGCAGGAUCUACUUAUCCUUCCUGAGCACCUGAGAUCACCCCCAGGUUUUGGUGGGGUUCGUGUUGCUUAGUCUUUAGUUUUCUAUGUUGUGUCUUCUGUACUAUUAUUUGUAUGUGUGUAUUUUUAUUUUUAACUAUGGUGUUGUCAUUUUAUUUUCGAUCUAUAAGUUUUGACUCUCGCUCUUUCGUUCCUCUUUAAAAGUAUGCUUUCACUGUUUAGUAUUGUUGAUGAUAUCCAUUUGACGUGUUUCUAUACUUAUACAUCCCGUCAUUUUGUUAUUGUGCUCUGGUAAUUUUUUUGUAUUUUUGUAUUUUUGCUAAUGUGCUUUCAAAUUGUUUAUAUGCUUUUUGUGUUUCUUUGUUACAUAUUUGUUUAUUUUAUAGUGAUUAAGAUUAUAAAACAAUGAUGACUGCUUUUCCCAUAUUUUUGACAUUUUGGCAUAUUAUCUCUGUUUGUUUUGUUCACAUACAGUUGUCAAUAUAAUGAAUAAAAUUGAGAAUGGAAAUGGGGAAUGUGUCAAAGAGACAACAACCCGACCAUGUAUGCUACUGUCAUACAAGUGAGAGGUUUACCAAGCUAUAAAGCCAGGUUCAAUCCAACAUUGUCUUUAUAAUAAAUUGCUUGUACAAAGUCAGAAAUAUGACAGUUGUUAUUUAUUCGUUUAGUGUGUUUGAGCUUUUGAUUUUGCCACUUGAUUACGGAUUUUCCGUUUUAAAUUUUUCGGAUUUCUGUUAUUUUGUUAUUUUACUUUUUACAUGUCCAAUAUUUUAUCUUACUUAAUAUUUAUAAUACAGUUAUACUAAUAAAAAAACUUCUGAAGUAUUUUAGGUGCAGGCAAAACAAUGAACCAGUGAUGAAAGCCGAAAAAAAAAAAUAUCAAAAAAAUGAAAAGUUAAUGGAUAUAUUUGCUCAAUUUUGACUGAUUUACUUGAAGGUAAAACAAAAGGAGAACUAAAUCACAAAUAAAUAUUUACUGAAUCAUGUUAUUGGACAAAUUGUUCAAGGAGUUAAGUGCUGGUUUGGGAUACCUUCGAAUUCUGGUUAGCAUAUAGGUUCUAAUAAUUUUUUUUCUAUAUUGAACAGAGGUCAACCUGGACAAACCCAUGUGACUCAAUAUUGCCGCUAAUUGUACAAAUUCAAAUACUUAAUAUGCUUAACUAUAGAUGCAUUAAAGGGACAACAGGAUUAACACAAAAC